rnacentral:lncRNA from 1 species
GGAGUGCUAGCCCGGUCGGAGGGGCCAGGAAGCUCCAGGUCGUACUCCGGAGGAACUCCAUACUGAACCCUUAUUAGUAGGAGUUCAACCGGAGUCAAGGAGUAGGGAAUGACACUCGACGUAAAAAUUGGGUGAAGCCCAGUCCCAAAUGUGGGUUCGUCUACAGAAUGGGGGUCCUAGGGAGCUGAGGCGGAAGAACUCCCGGAACUGCUAGAGGCAGAGGCG